GUAAGGAAUAUUGGACAAUGGACGCAAGUCUGAUCCAGCCAUGCCGCGUGAAGGAUUAAGGUCCUCUGGAUUGUAAACUUCUUUUAUAAGGGACGAAAAAAGGCUUUUCUAAGUCGUCUGACGGUACCUUAUGAAUAAGCACCGGCUAACUCCGUGCCAGCAGCCGCGGUAAUACGGAGGGUGCAAGCGUUAUCCGGAUUCACUGGGUUUAAAGGGUGCGUAGGCGGGCAGGUAAGUCAGUGGUGAAAUCCUAGAGCUUAACUCUAGAACUGCCAUUGAUACUAUCUGUCUUGAAUAUUGUGGAGGUAAGCGGAAUAUGUCAUGUAGCGGUGAAAUGCUUAGAUAUGACAUAGAACACCUAUUGCGAAGGCAGCUUACUACGCAUAUAUUGACGCUGAGGCACGAAAGCGUGGGGAUCAAACAGGAUUAGAAACCCUUGUAGUCA
rnacentral:rRNA from 1 species